rnacentral:lncRNA from 13 species
GAUAAUUGACAAGAAUAUUCAUGAAUGUGAAUGUGUUUUCAUGAAGGUGUAUUGGAUGCAUGCAUUGCUCUUUCAGUAAACAGGACAUUUUAGUGUUUUCCAUAAUGGCACAAAAUACUUUCACUUUCAACUUUCAACUUUCAUGUUACGAAAGAUCCUGGGUAUAUUCAUUAGUGCACACCGUAGCAAAACAGUUUGCAAAUGAAAAUGAAAACAGGGGAUUCCUAUUGAACAAAUUCUGGUAGGUCCCUCCCGGGUUUGGCCCAUUUGGUUUUGUUUGGUCUCUAUUGAAUACCAGGAAGAUAGGUUUCAUUUCCAUCUAGCCACACCCAUUAUUUCCCAGGAAGAUAGGUUUCAUUUCCAUCUAGCUGCACCAUUUCAAAUAAAUGUGCAACAGAUGUAAGUAAGGGUGUAAACAGAAUCUGAAGUCAGAGCAACUCAGCACUGCCAGUGGAGCAACAUCCAUCCACCAAGAUGGAUAAGAUAUUCAAUCUCCUCGCGCAGCACAGACUGGAGGCCUACUACAAUACAUUCCUCACUUUGGGUGUCCAAGAUGAGAGAGAUUUCAUUGAUGGCGUAAAUGGUGAAGAUUUAGACAAAAUGAAUUUCAGUCAUGUAGAAAAGAAUCGCUUUGAAAAAAUGAAAGAUUUCAUCCAACGACUCAGAGCGCCACAGCAAGCAAUGCCUGUACAGAAAUCGAUGGAGUCUUUCCAUCUGCAGUACACAUAUCCCCACUGUCCUGAGCCAAGAGACAUCAGAGACAUGGAUCCUGCCCAAAACACGGUUGAAGAUCUGAUGCUAAGGAUUUGUCACCAAGAGGCCAUUGGGAAUUCCAGAGCCCUGUGCCUCUACACCAUUGAGGGAAUGCCUCUAACUGAUGAUCCUUUCUUCAACACAUGGUCUUUGAAAGACAGGCACAUUGAAAAUGGAAGUGAGCUUUAUGCCAUAUUUACACCCAAGGAGAACUUGAAACAAGCCCCCCACAUGCCACAACGAGAGAUGACUGACAUCUCAGGAGAGGAGAAUGUUCGAUGCCACAUUAUGCUCAAGAAAGUUCAACAUUCCGGAGAGGGAUUCAAGAAAGUGAAUGCGUACAUUCGAAAGCUCAGUGGAUGUAAUCCCCUGGCACAAAGUUUGUAUCAGCUGUUGUGCAGAAAUGAAAGUGGAAGUAGGACCCAGAAGAUUGCCAUUGUUGAGGGAUUGUACACUCUCUUCAGAGAGCUGUUGCCAAGCCUCGAUAAAAAAAGAGGUGACAAGAUCAUUGAAGACCCCGACGUGUUUGAGAAUGCACCAGUUUGCUGGGCCUACCUGAUAUCUAAAGCAGAGAAAGAGAGUUCCCAACAUGAGGUCUUUGCACCGAUAUGUUUGACCUCUCAACCAGGAGUGCGCUUCAGCGACCCAGUUCAAGUACCUGGACUACCAGAUGUCUUUGAAAGAGAGUAUGUCCUACAGAAAAUUAAAGAUGGAGAAAGAAUCCCAAACUGCUCUGCUGAGAUCCUGACAGAAACUUCAAUGUGGAGAGCUACCGAUGUCGAAAAGAUUUUACUCAGUCUGCCUCCAUCCAUCAAAACCUUCCCUGUUUGGGUUUCAUAUGGACUUGUGACUGGUCAAAACUUUCAGAUCAAACUAGAUGAGACAUUUGCCAAGAUGACUGAAGAAUUGAAUGCUUACCCUCACCUGACAGUCACUCCACCACUGCAGUUGAAGAGUGUAGGAGUGGAUGGGCCACGUCUCAUUCUUUUGAAAGAAGAUAACCUGGGUGUUUACAUUGAAAAAGCCAAAGGAUCUCCUCAGGAGUUCGUUGUUUUUGAUUGCUUAGCUGGGAAACACAAAACUUUGAAUGUGGACGAAUUGGCACAUGAAAUGAGAGAUACCAGAAGUGACCAGACGUUCAUGACCACCAGGACUCCAAAAGAGGCAAUAUUGGUGCUAGUGGAUUCAAGCUCCUCCAUGAAAGAGACAUGCUAUGAUUCAGAUGACAAAAUGACACGGUUGGAUGCAGUCAAACAGCUGUUUGAUAACUUCACAACUAGAAGCAUGGCUUACGAUUUCCAUCAUGUCAUUGGCUUGGUGAAGUUUAACUCAUCAGUUAAGACUCUCCACACAUUUACAGAGACUCUGGAGACCUUUAAGGUGCACAUACACAAUCUUAAGGCAAAUGGACGCACUGUGCUGUAUGAUGCCUUGAAUCAUGGCACAUCUGAACUGGAAAAAGUUGGAAAGCAAUUUCCAGACUGCAGACUUCGCAUCAUAUGUCUCACAGAUGGGAAUGAUGUGGGGUCAAAGACAAAACCACAUGACGUCACAACCAAGUUGAUGCGCUUUAACAUUAUAGUUGAUGCCAUCGUUGUCGGAAAGGUGGAUAACCACAUGCUCCAUGGAAUCAGCAAUGCAACAGGAGGGUGCUGUUUCAAACCAGAGACAGGAACAGCUGGUCUGAAGCUCUUUGAAAUGGAAACAGUUCUAUCUUUGGAGAUGAGGAAGCCUAAGGAAAAAAUGAACCCAUCCUCCAUUACGAGCGAGAGUGUUUUAACUUCUCUCUUCGCCAAAAAUGGCUAUGAUGAGCAGCCAGAGGUUUCUCUACCAAGUGAAUUAAACAGUAAAGUCACUGUGACAGAGAAUUCAUUGAAAAAGAACAUCAAGGAAUCCAAGAGCAGCCGGUUUUUGGAGAAGGACAAACGCAUUCUGGAAGAGCUGAAGAGUCUGCAUUGUGACCCACAUCCAUUCUGCACAGUUUUGCCAUUAGAGUCAGACUUCACGUUUUGGAAGAUUCUCAUGCAAGGCCCCCCUGAUACACCUUAUGAGAAUGGAGCCUUUGAACUGUACUGUCAGUUUGGUGCUGAGUACCCUGUCAAACCUCCACUUGUGCGCUUUGUCACACCUGUAUCCUUUUACACAAAUUAAUACAUGAAGACAGUGUAUUUUGUAUUCUGUGACU